ensembl:lncRNA
GUCCCAUCUCAUUUAAAUUUAAACCCUAUAAAAGUAAAGAUUUUGUGCAGCCCAUCUCCUCAGCAUAUAUGUAAAAUGAAUUCUGGCACAUAUGGUGAAUGAGUGGAUGAAUGAAUGCAUGUAAACACGGCUACUUUGUAAAAGGCAUUGUGGAAGAUACAUGAUUAGUGUUAACAGGGUGGUUCCUGUCACAUAUGGAGCUUCCAGUCUAUUUGGACACCAAACAAUAGAGGAUUGCAUGACUAAGCAGUGAGCUAUGUGGUAUUGACCAUAAGUGAUACAGGAGUUCAGAGAAGAGUGUGGGAAAUGCAAGAGACCUAAGUUUGAGGCCUCUGUUCCAGUAUUUGUGUACUGCUCCAGUAUGCAAAUCAUUUAACUGAAUGUAUAGAAUUUCCAUUCUCAUCAGUGUGGUUGCAGGCAGGAGUUGAAUGAUGCUAAAACUGUCCUGUGGUAGUUUAUGCCCCAACAACCUGUCCGGACAACAUUUUUCCAGUGACACUCAAGUAUACUUUCAACAGAAAUAUUUCGAGAAAUAAACAAGGUUUAAAGAAUCUGCCUGGAAGAAAUGGGUGAGCAAGAAGGACACUGGAAGGAGAAGCUUAGUGUUUCUUUAUCUUGUCUUUUGUUCCGGAGUAAUCCUAACAUUGUGAAGUCUUCAAAAAUUUACUGCCUUUGCUUUUCAAAUAAAUGACUUGGGUGUGAAAAGCAGCACAUCCGCCCUGUGGUUGAGCAUUUUUUCUGAGUUGACUUAUCUUUGAACUUCUCUGUAGUGGUGGGCUGGUGGCACUCCCCUGGCCUCUCCUGGAGAUUCCUUUUCAUUCAGUUACUUUCAGUUUACUGGAAGACCCCAGGAUGGCCCCAGGAAGACUCCUUAUUUCCUGACUUCGGGCUACAGUGAUCACACCUUCAUAAACAAAAUUCUAUACUUAGGGAAGUAUAUUGUUGUUUAGUCACUAAGUCGCGUCUGACUCUUUGCGACCCCAUGGACUUUAGCUCUCCAGGUUCCUCUAUCCAUGGGAUUUCCCAGGCAGCAAUGCUGGAAUGGGUUGCCAUUUCCUUCUCCAGGGGAUCUUUCCCACCCAGGGAUAGGACCCUCAUCUCUUGCAUUGGCAGGUGGGUUCUUUACCACUGAGCCACCAGGGAAACCCCUAAGGAAAGUAUACCCAUGUCCUAUCCUAUCAGGAAAGUGAGAUCCUUGUUUACUGCAUUUACAACUUCAUAUAAUGAAAUCUCCAAUAACCCAAUUUAUUCCUGAAUCUUUGAUCAAUAGUUCCCCCUCCUAAAUUCAGUAUCUAGGGAAAGUAGAGAAUAGGAACUGUUUCAGGAAUAUAUUAUGAUAUAUAGGCAUAAAAUAUAAUGAUUAAUUUUUAAAAGUAAGAAUCCACACUCUGUUCCGAUUUACAAUACAUUGAUAUUAUUAGUGGUUUCCUCCAUCCUUCAGGGUUCUAAAUAAAGAAAAUAUGUAUGAGGAGUAUAAUCAGAUGAAAGUUAAAGUAUUACUCUAUUAAUAUUAGUAAAAGCCCUAUAAUGCCUAAAAUGAAGCUUCUAGUAAACAAACGAGGCCCUUAAAAACCAGUGUUCAAUAU